rnacentral:lncRNA from 10 species
CACUGCACUCCAGCCUGGGUGACACAGCGAGACUCCGUCUCAAAAAAAUAAUAAAUAAACAAAAGAAUUUGAAUUACUCUAGCCAUUAUAGAAAACAGUAUAGAGGUUCCUCAAAAAAUUAAAAACAAAACUGCCAUAUGAUCCCACAAUCCCACGCCUGGGUAUAUAUCUGAAGGAAGUAAAAUCAGUAUGUUGCAGAGAUAUCUGCACUCUCAUGUUUAUUGCAGCACUGUUCAUAAGAGCCGAGAUAUGGAAUCAACCUAAGUGUCCAUCAGUGGAUGAGCGGAUAAAGAAAAUGUGGUAUAUACAUACAAUGGAAUACUAUUCAGCCAUUAAAAGGAAUGAAAUCCUGUCAUUUGUGGCAACAUAGAUGGACCUGGAGAACAUUAAGUGAAAUAAGCCAGGCACAGAAAGACAAAUAUCACAUGAUCUCAUGCAGGUGUAGAAUCCAAAGAAGUUGAUCUCAUAGAAGUGGGAAAUAAAAUGGUGGUUAUCAGAGGCUGAGAAGAGAUUAAUCAGUGGGUACAAAGUUACAGUUAGGAGGAAUAAAUUCUGGCGGUCUAUUGCACAGUAGGAUGACUGUGGUUAACAACAUUGUUUCAAAAUGGCUAGAAAAGAUUUUGGUUGUUCUCACUACAAAGAAAUGGUAAAUACAUGAGGUGAUGGUUUUGCUAAAUAACAUUAAAAUAUCACCAUAUCCCAUAAAUAAGUAAAAUUGUUAUGUGUCAAAAAUGAAACAAAAAUAUAUAAUGUUGGGGGGUAUUAAGUGCUAUGAUGACAAGUAAAGCAAGUUUGGCAUAAUUUUGGGAGUUGGCAUAUUAGGUUAAGGUAAAGCCAGUUACUUUUGUUAUGUUUAUGAAUUCCUAGGCCUCUUGACAAACACUGAGGUUCUCAAACAUUGGCAAACACAAGUCACAUUAGGUAAACAUACAAAUUCUUGGCCUUAGUUCCAUAUAUUUUAUUCUGAACAAAUAGCCCUUAAGUCAAAAUUGAGAAACAAUGAUUAGUAAUAAGUUUUUACACUUCAAGUAUUUCCUCAUUCUGAACAAAGGAUGUCGACAUGUAUUUACACACUUGAAUGUUUCAACACUACCGUGUGAUGUGAUUUUACUUUUUUUUUUUUAUAUAUUUCAGCUUUGAGUAUCAUGUAUUCUAUUUUCAAUCUGUUGUUUGUGGCCUAGACUCAAUGCAAUAAGUUUUUAAGGGGUUUUCUCUCUGAAGCACAAAAUACCUUUUUACUCUAAAAAGCGGGGAUGGGAAGAAGAUAAACCAGACUCAGAUAUUAUGAUUUUCUUCACUUGUCCCUGGUAUGAGUUUUAUGAAAACAUUUGUAACCCAAUCACAGCUAUCUUUCCCCUGAAACAACACGUGCUUUAGACUGAAUUGGUUAUAGUUCUAGGUAUGAGAAAGAAAUAUCAAAAUGUUAUACCACAAUGUAUAUCAUUUAUUGUUGCAUUAUAUUCUAUCAUGAUAAUUUUUAUUAAUGUAAGCU